CACAUAGCUAUAUCACAGUGCACGCCUAACAAUUUUUUUUUGGGUUUGGGGGUGGGGGGAGGGGAGGCUGAUCCACAAUUCAUAUAUUCAUUGAGAGAGCAUAAUUAUCAGGGAGAAUUCAUAAGGAAGAGGCAGUGCACUUUUCUUUUUUGUUUUUAGAGCACCAUAGGCAUUGAGAAAGAUAUAAAAACACAGAGCAAAAUUAUGGGAUGAAUUUUGAGAGAGAGCAUUCAUUUUUCGUAGAGAGCUUUUGAGAUACGGAAUUAGGAGAGCACCAGUCCACUAGUUUUCGUCACCGAAUCGGUGAUUUCUUCACCAACAAAUAAAAGACCAUCCACUCCAGUUUCAAAAACCCCAAAAAACAGAGUUUUCAUUUUGAUGGAGUUUGGCUAGAGCAUCUAAGUUGGGUUCGACAUUUUCAGGGCUUGGGUUGGUGGUUCCAUUCUAGUCUACCGGUCAGUGAUCUAGUUCUGGUCUUAAAUACCCCUUGUAAAUAAUCUAAGGAGCAUGACAAAAUUCCUUGAGAGAGCAUAAUUAUCAGGGAGAAUUUGGGCUUGGGAACACAUUCUGCAAAUUUUGCACUUUGGAUACCGAACAGACGUGCCAGGUUAUUUCAUAUAAAAGCAAUUAGAGGAGACGUGUUUGUGGCGAGCGGGAGUAUUAUGCUAUAUUUGAUAAGUAAGCCUCUCCAGAUCGUACAAGUGUGCGUCGAGCCCAUGCGGAUGGUUUAAUUUUUAUAAAAUGGAGUUUCUCCCUUAUUCAUAUAAUUCCAUAUUUAAAAAAAAAUGUUCAAUUUUAAGUAAAAUAAUUGGCCCAAGUGUGCAGAGCAAGCAUCGGGUGCAAACUGGAAGACUCGAAUUCCUGAAACUAGUUUCUUGCAUGUGACGGUCUGUGAUGAGAAAGAUCUCAUAAAAUUUAUGAUAAACAUGUUUGGACAUCUUCCAUAAGACCCUAUGAUACCUACUCAUUACGCGUGGAUUGUACUGAUACUGCUCUUGCGAAAGGGUGUAGAGUGUUUCAGGUGGUUGAUUGUGACAUAUUCGGAAAUGUGCGGUGCCUAUCUUGAAGGCCUCCUCCCACUUCAUUCCGGGAUGGAGGUUGAGACUUAGAAUGUUGUUGUAAUCUGGAUCAUUAGUCGGUCUUGUACUAGUCUAGACCAGGUCGUGGGAAGUCAGAAUAAGUCUGUAAUUAUUUAACUGUUGUAAU